ensembl:lncRNA
AUGGCCAUGACUGUGAGCAUGUCUGUGCGUCCUGCAAACAGAACAAAAAGUAUUUUUUCACUCUUCUUCACAGUAGAGUCCAAGGAAAGGGUUAGUUGGUUAGUGGCACAGGACAGUGGGGAAGUAGCAUGCAACAGUGACACAGGACAACACGCAAAUGGCAUUGAGCACUGUAGCAGGACAGUAGCAAUCCUCGAGAGGAAGGCAUUGCAUUGCUCCACCUCCUCCCCAAGAGUCAAACCAGCCCCCUCCUGGUAUGCCCCACUCCAUUUUACCUUCAAAUAAAAAAAGAAAAAAAUAAUAAAUCUAAGUGGCAACAAUAUUAUGUUUAGGGAAAGAACAUCACAUGAAAAGUCACAUUUUCUUACCUCACAUUUGAAGUCGUGGGCUUUGGCAUGAAACACUGAUAGAAAUGGCUUCAUUGAGAGCAGAUCCUGAAGCUCAGGGCAUCUCUCGUUCCCUCUCUGGAGGUAAGGCCAGUACUUGCACGCAACAUCCAUAGCAAAAAAUUUCACCGGCUUACAAGCCAUUUUUUUUCUGGAGGUACAGGGGUAAGCAAAAACCUCCCCCUGAACAUAUUAAGGGCACAAAGAAGAACACCAUGCUGGCAAACUGCAAGUUCUAGGCCCUCCUCAUCUAUUUUGCUGGAGGACUUCUGUGACGUUUCUUGUGCUGCUGACCAAUGUCCCCCAAAGACACCUCUGCCAGAGGUCUAAAACAUGGAAGAUGGCUAACAGGUCAAACAAACUCCUAUGUAGGACAUGGUUUUACAAGUAAAUAUAGUGAUGUUUUGCAAGUUUACAUGUCCGCUGAAUGGCGCUUUAAUCACAAGUUUUCAAACAAGCGCAUCAAAGCACAUUUUCGCGAAUAGACGUCAGCUUUGCCUCACCGUUUUGUUAUAUUUGACUGCAGUCGGGGAAAAUGAAAGGAAAACACUUUAGGCUAAUUAAAAUAUUUAAUAUUCACAGAUGAAAGUUUAGUCCUUAUGAAGAUGUGUGCGUUUCUUAGAACGAAUUCAAGCAGGAUAAAUGUCAAGCCUAUGAGCCUGUGCUUAUAUUUACUCUACACCAUAUUUUAGAUUUGACGCAUUUAAAUUAUUCUUAUUUGUCUACAUUUUAUCUUCAUUACAAAUCUUGUUUGGUUUUAUUUUGGAUAAUUGCAUGUAAAAAAAAAUAUUCACUUUGUAAUGCAUAUGGAAAAUGUAAAUUAUUAUUCAUAUACAAGUGUUUGUGCGAAAAUUAUUAAUGCGCUUGACAGGGAGGCGCCCUCUAGAUCACGUGAUUUUUUUCCCUAAUAAUGAAAUAAC